rnacentral:rRNA from 1 species
AACGCGAAGAACCUUACCAGCUCUUGACAUCCUGGUCGGGGCUCCAGAGACGGAGCCUAUCAAUUGGCCAGUGACAGGUGCUGCAUGGCUGUCGUCAGCUCGUGUCGUGAGAUGUUGGGUUAAGUCCCCCAACGAGCGCAACCCCUGCCAUUAGUUGCCAGCAUUAAGUUGGGCACUCUAGUGGGACUGCCGGUGAUAAGCCGGAGGAAGGUGGGGAUGACGUCAAGUCUUCAUGGCCCUUACGGGCUGGGCUACACACGUGCUACAAUGGCGGUGACAGAGGGUUGCUACACAGCGAUGUGAUGCUAAUCCCUAAAAGCCGUCUCAGUUCGGAUUGCACUCUGCAACUCGGGUGCAUGAAGUCGGAAUCGCUAGUAAUCGCAGAUCAGCACGCUGCGGUGAAUACGUUCCCGGGCCUUGUACACACCG